rnacentral:rRNA from 1 species
GACGAACGCUGGCGGCGUGCUUAACACAUGCAAGUCGAACGGAAAGGCCCUUCGGGGUACUCGAGUGGCGAACGGGUGCGUAACACGUGGGUGAUCUGCCCUGCACUUUGGGAUAAGCCUGGGAAACUGGGUCUAAUACCGAAUAGGACCACGCGCUUCAUGGUGUGUGGUGGAAAGCUUUUGCGGUGGGGGAUGGGCCCGCGGCCUAUCAGCUUGUUGGUGGGGUAAUGGCCUACCAAGGCGACGACGGGUAGCCGGCCUGAGAGGGUGACCGGCCACACUGGGACUGAGAUACGGCCCAGACUCCUACGGGAGGCAGCAGUGGGGAAUAUUGCACAAUGGGCGCAAGCCUGAUGCAGCGACGCCGCGUGAGGGAUGACGGCCUUCGGGUUGUAAACCUCUUUCAAUAGGGACGAAGCGCAAGUGACGGUACCUAUAGAAGAAGCACCGGCCAACUACGUG